UGCCUUGGCUACAACCAGCAUCCAUGUCCAAAGAAUAGCUGACUUCCAGCAACUCUCAGAUUUCUCCCUGAGGGGUUAAGUCAAGCCCAGUGCUCUCCUGCAGGUCUUGGCUCAGAUGGGCACAGCUGGGACCCUGGGACAGGCUGAGCUGAGAUGGUUGACCCGUGUCCAUGGCACCACUAGCCUAGAUGGCAGUAUCCAAGCUAGAAAGAGUCAGGACCUUAAAGUGCAUCUGAAUGCCCCAGAGGAUUUGGUGGAGCUACUCAGCUUCAGCUCCAGGCUGUAUAUUGUCACUGGGGACAGUAUGAAGAACUUAAGUGAUAGUCACAACCUCUCUAAAUCCUGGUCCUGUACCAGUGAGGAAGUUCAGAGCCCAGGAAGUCCUUGAGCUUGUUCCCUGAAAGGACAGAAAGUCCUGUUCCAGAAGAGGAGCAGUGGUCCCUUCUCAGGAACCCUGCUGUGUUUGCAGAAGAGCUGGCUCCCUGAAGAAGACACAGCCCACCUCUUCAUGGGUACAUCCAAGUCAGAAGUGGCCAGGGAUUUUGGGAUGGACAUCAGCUACAGUGUGCCCCAGGGGAAGUGCUGGUUCCAGCUGCUGCACCCCAAAAAGAAAAUUCAGUUGGAUGGUGAGAACAGCGCUCUCCCUGGUAACCUUACUUCUUGGCAUCUGCUGACGUGGGCAGUGUGCCCGACACACACUCACUCCUGGGUUCCAGAGCAAGAUCCAGUUUGUUUGAUGGCUCAGGGGAUAGAAAAUGGGCGAGAAGGUGGAGCCCCAGCCUCUGAACUUGACCUUGUCCCCAGGUGAGGUGGAGGUUCUCAAAGUGCACGGAGGAGCCACCUGGAACUGAUACUCGACAACAGGGAUGUCUGUUAAAGCAAGGUUUGCUCUGUCUUCUUGGUACAGCUGCAUCAGCCCUACCCCAGCCCAGAUCUCCCUGCCCCAGCUGGUGUCCUGGUCUAACAAAGCUCCCCAGCCCUGCCCCAGUACUGAUGUUAAAGAUGUAUGGAGUCAAUAAUAAAAAGUUUUGGGUCAGUAGAUGGCAAAAAAAAAAAAAAAAAAAAAAAAA
rnacentral:lncRNA from 1 species